UACAGAGGGUGCAAGCGUUAAUCGGAAUUACUGGGCGUAAAGCGUGCGUAGACGGUUACAUAAGUCGGGUGUGAAAGCCCCGGGCUCAACCUGGGAAUUGCAUUCGAGACUGCGUAGCUAGGGUGCGGAAGAGGGAAGCGGAAUUUCCGGUGUAGCGGUGAAAUGCGUAGAUAUCGGGAGGAACACCAGUGGCGAAGGCGGGUCUCUGGGCCGAUACUGACGCUGAGGAGCGAAAGCGUGGGGAGCGAACAGG
rnacentral:rRNA from 1 species